UACGGAGGGGACUAGCGUUGUUCGGAAUUACUGGGCGUAAAGCGCGCGUAGGCGGAUUUGUAAGUCAGGGGUGAAAUCCCGGGGCUCAACCUCGGAACUGCCUUUGAUACUGCAAAUCUCGAGUCCGAUAGAGGUGGGUGGAAUUCCUAGUGUAGAGGUGAAAUUCGUAGAUAUUAGGAAGAACACCGGUGGCGAAGGUGGCCCACUGGAUCGGUACUGACGCUGAGGUGCGAAAGCGUGGGGAGCAAACAGG
rnacentral:rRNA from 1 species